rnacentral:rRNA from 1 species
GACGAACGCUGGCGGCGUGCUUAACACAUGCAAGUCGAACGGUAAGGCCCUUCGGGGUACACGAGUGGCGAACGGGUGAGUAACACGUGGGUGAUCUGCCCUGCACUUCGGGAUAAGCCUGGGAAACUGGGUCUAAUACCGGAUAGGACCACUGCCUGCAUGGGUGGUGGUGGAAAGCUUUUGCGGUGUGGGAUGGGCCCGCGGCCUAUAAGCUUGUUGGUGGGGUGAUGGCCUACCAAGGCGACGACGGGUAGCCGGCCUGAGAGGGUGACCGGCCACACUGGGACUGAGAUACGGCCCGGACUCCUACGGGAGGCAGCAGUGGGGAAUAUUGCACAAUGGGCGCAAGCCUGAUGCAGCGACGCCGCGUGAGGGAUGACGGCCUUCGGGUUGUAAACCUCUUUCAGCACCGACGAAGCGCAAGUGACGGUAGGUGCAGAAGAAGGACCGGCCAACUACUUGCCAGCAGCCGCCGUAA